rfam:Verticillium longisporum isolate VL1 genome assembly, contig: scaffold_52
GGUCAGGUGGCCGAGUGGUCUAAGGCGCUAGCUUCAGGUGCUAGUCUAUUUCAUAGGCAAGGGUUCGAAUCCCUUCCUGAUCA